rnacentral:rRNA from 1 species
AUGCCAAGGCCGGCGAUGGCGGCGCUGUACGGUGUCGUUCCCUUGUUGAAGGCAUCGCCAUGGAGAAGUUCUAUUCCACUAUCUGCUACCUCCGGGGGAAACCCUAGAUCGGUAGAUCGGAAGACGGUGGCGCUCUUGUGUCGUUUACCCCUUGGGGGCGUCAUUCUUGGAGGUGUACAUGGGCUCGAGGGACUAGUGGACGACAUUUUUGGUGGAGCGGUGCUUCAUCCUACACGCAGAUCUCGACAGCAUGGCGCCCUGGAAAUUCAGUGUCCGACGUGUGACGAUGGACUCGCGCAGGAGGAUGACGUUGUCUGGCGUCGUGGUGGCGUUGAUGGCAGAGAGGCCUCGCGCAGUCGAUGCGUCAGUUUCUGCUCUGAAGAUGGAUCGGUGGAAGAUGGUGGUGACGGGCCUUGCAGUGUGCGCAUGUGGUGCCCACUAUGA